rnacentral:sRNA from 1 species
CUUCAUCGGCCUGUUGCGGGCAGAUGAAAUGGAUGUGCGAGUCGAUGCCGCCGGCCGUGAGGAUGAGCCCUUCGCCGGCGAUCGCCUCGGUGGUGACGCCGACGAUCAUCGACGGCGUCACGCCGCUCAUGACCGCGGGAUUUCCGGCCUUGCCGAUGCCGACGAUACGGCCGUGCUUGAGGCCGACGUCGGCCUUGUAGAUGCCGGUCCAGUCGACGAUGAGCGCGUUGGUGAUGACCACGUCGAGCGCAUGAUCGUCGUCGGCGCCGGGCAUUUGACCCAUCUGGUCCCGAAG